AACGCGAAGAACCUUACCUGGGCUCGAAAUGCUGUGGACCAGCUUAUGAAAGUAGGCCUUCCCGCAAGGGACCGCAGUAUAGGUGCUGCAUGGCUGUCGUCAGCUCGUGUCGUGAGAUGUUGGGUUAAGUCCCGCAACGAGCGCAACCCUUAUCCCUAGUUGCCAUCGGGUCAAGCCGGGCACUCUAGUGAAACCGCCUGGGAUAACCAGGAGGAAGGUGGGGAUGACGUCAAGUCCUCAUGGCCUUUAUGUCCAGGGCUACACACGUGCUACAAUGGUCGGUACAAACCGUCGCAAACCCGCGAGGGGGAGCUAAUCGGAAAAAGCCGGCCUCAGUUCGGAUUGGAGUCUGCAACCCGACUCCAUGAAGCUGGAAUCGCUAGUAAUCGCGGAUCAGAACGCCGCGGUGAAUACGUUCCCGGGCCUUGUACACACCGCUCGCGA
rnacentral:rRNA from 1 species